rnacentral:lncRNA from 1 species
UCCCCGCCCACCCCAGCCUACCCGCUGCGGACCCGGCAGCAACCUGGGGUCGCUCCCCUGGGGCAGCGACGGGCAGUCGCUAGAUCAGAGCUUCCCAAGCUUAACCCUCCACAGCAGGCUGAGGCUUCCAGGGCUUGACAGAACUCCUGCAAACACUGACAGUGCCCUGGAGGUGUAAAUGAGUGUUUCUCAAAGCCCAAGAGGCCUUCCGGUGCAUUUGAAAAGGGGACACAGCUAGAGAUAAAAAACAGUGGCCCUUGCUCAACCGCGGAUGUAGCUGUAGUUUUCUGAGGUUAUGGGCAGAGGUCUUCACAAGCUUCAGAAGUAGCCUGCUUAGCUCUAAAGGCUUUGUAGGCCUGUGGCCUCUUACUCUGGUGGCCCAAGACUACUAGAAAACCGAAGCAAAGAAUCUAGGAACCACCAGAGACCCAGCUUUGCAAAGAUAUGGCAUCACUGAAAGGAAUGUGGCACUAUCAAAUAUUGAAACUGCGAACUACCUCAAGCUAGUUGUUUGCACAAUUUCUGACAGAUGUCAAGUAUCGCUGUGUUUCCUUGAAUAUUUUAAAUAUCCUUCAGUGACUUUGUGCUGAAGUUCAUUCUAGUGCUUCAAGGUGUCUUGGCACACGGUUUGAGAAUCAUGGGUUUCAACCCUAUGUAAUGAAGCCUAGUAACAAGACACUGUGAGCAAAUUUAUCAAACAGAAGAGUGUGUGCAGUUACAUUUAAGUUGACAUCUUUUGGGUGCCAUAUCGAAUACAGGAGCAAUUCUUACACCCUCACAACUGUAAGCUGAAGGCCAUGUACCAUGUCAUUCCUCAUUGCAAAGAAUGUUUCCGAGUACAAAGAAUGUUUUCUGGUACAUGGAAUGUGGUCACGCUAUCCAGAAGUGAAACAGCCAUAUUGCGACCAAGAGAUAAAAGCCACGUGCUGAGGAUGGUACACAGGAAAGUGAAAGAAGCCUGGAUCCUUGACAAUAUCACUGAUCCAGACUUGGACUCACA